rnacentral:rRNA from 1 species
UACGAAGGGGCUAGCGUUGCUCGGAAUCACUGGGCGUAAAGCGCACGUAGGCGGAUCUUUAAGUCAGGGGUGAAAUCCUGGAGCUCAACUCCAGAACUGCCUUUGAUACUGGGGAUCUCGAGUCCGGAAGAGGUGAGUGGAACUCCGAGUGUAGAGGUGAAAUUCGUAGAUAUUCGCAAGAACACCAGUGGCGAAGGCGGCUCACUGGCCCGGUACUGACGCUGAGGUGCGAAAGCGUGGGGAGCAAACAGGG